AUGAACGCUGGCGGCGUGCCUAAUACAUGCAAGUCGAGCGAACAGACGAGGAGCUUGCUCCUUUGACGUUAGCGGCGGACGGGUGAGUAACACGUGGAUAACCUACCUAUAAGACUGGGAUGACUUCGGGAAACCGGAGCUAAUACCGGAUAACAUGUUGAACCGCAUGGUUCAACAGUGAAAGACGGUCUUGCUGUCACUUAUAGAUGGAUCCGCGCCGCAUUAGCUAGUUGGUAAGGUAACGGCUUACCAAGGCAACGAUGCGUAGCCGACCUGAGAGGGUGAUCGGCCACACUGGAACUGAGACACGGUCCAGACUCCUACGGGAGGCAGCAGUAGGGAAUCUUCCGCAAUGGGCGAAAGCCUGACGGAGCAACGCCGCGUGAGUGAAGAAGGUCUUCGGAUCGUAAAACUCUGCUAUUAGGGAAGAACAAAUGUGUAAGUAACUAUGCACGUCUUGACGGUACCUAAUCAGAAAGCCACGGCUAACUACGUG
rnacentral:rRNA from 1 species